UACGAGGGGGGCAAAUGUUGUUCGGAAUCACUGGGCGUAAAGGGAGCGUAGGCGGGUUUUUAAGUCAGGUGUUUAAUCCCGGGGCCCAACCCCGGACCGGCACUUGAAACUGGGAAUCUUGAAUAGGGGAGAGGUCAGUGGAAUUGGAGGUGUAGCGGUGGAAUGCGUAGAGAUCUCCAAGAACACCAGUUGCGAAGGCGGCUGACUGGACCCAUAUUGACGCUGAGGCUCGAAAGCAUGGGGAGCAAACAGG
rnacentral:rRNA from 1 species